rfam:Schistosoma mattheei strain Denwood, Zambia genome assembly, scaffold: SMTD_scaffold0005711
AUCCAGCUGAAGAGUCCCAAAUAGGACGAAACACGCGUCCUGGAU